CUUACUGAAAUUUGUAUGGAGUUGGAAAGUUUGCAUACGUUUGCCGCUAGGGGCGCUGUUCCAACUGCAUACAAAUUUGAGUUG
rfam:Bombyx mori DNA, contig: Bm_scaf7_contig5859, strain: p50T/Dazao, build 2, whole genome shotgun sequence.